rnacentral:rRNA from 1 species
GCGAAAGCCUGAUGCAGCGACGCCGCGUGAGGGAUGACGGCCUUCGGGUUGUAAACCUCUUUCAGUAGGGAAGAAGCGAAAGUGACGGUACCUGCAGAAGAAGCGCCGGCUAACUACGUGCCAGCAGCCGCGGUAAUACGUAGGGCGCAAGCGUUAUCCGGAAUUAUUGGGCGUAAAGAGCUCGUAGGCCGUUUGUCGCGUCUGCCGUGAAAGUCCGGGGCUCAACUCCGGAUCUGCGGUGGGUACGGGCAGACUAGAGUGAUGUAGGGGAGACUGGAAUUCCUGGUGUAGCGGUGAAAUGCGCAGAUAUCAGGAGGAACACCGAUGGCGAAGGCAGGUCUCUGGGCAUUAACUGACGCUGAGGAGCGAAAGCAUGGGGAGCGAACAGGAUUAGAUACCCUGGUAGUCCAUGCCGUAAACGUUGGGCACUAGGUGUGGGGGACAUUCCACGUUUUCCGCGCCGUAGCUAACGCAUUAAGUGCCCCGCCUGGGGAGUACGGCCGCAAGGUUAAAACUCAAAGGAAUUGAC